rnacentral:rRNA from 1 species
UAGCUCUACCUUAGUUUCUUUAUUACACCAAACAAAAUACUAAACUUAAGAGCUAUUCAAAUAAGGUACAGCUUAUUUGAAACAGGCUACAACCUUCAACACCGGGUUAAUAUAGAUUCUAUAAGUUAAGUGGGCCUAAAAGCAGCCAUCUUACAGAAAGCGUUAAAGCUCAACUAUUUUCCCUUCUAAAUUCCAAAAAUUAUCUUCAACCCUUCAUUACUACUGAACUAUUUUAUACCUAUAUAAAAGUUAUCAUGCUAGAACUAGUAACAAGAAUUAGCCCUUCUCCAAAAUGUAUACUUAAGCCAAAAUGGACACCCCAUUGGCAGUUACCGCAAAUGCACCCAUUAUAGUACCUCACAACUAGACAACUCUAUAACUUUUAGCGUUAACCUGACACUAGAACAUUACAGGAAAGAUUAAAAGAGAAAGAAGGAACUCGGCAAAUCUCGGUCCCGCCUGUUUACCAAAAACAUCGCCUCUUGACUAAAUAUAAGAGGUCCAGCCUGCCCACUGACAUAGUUUAACGGCCGCGGUACCCUAACCGUGCGAAGGUAGCAUAAUCACUUGUUCUUUAAAUAAGGACUCGUAUCAACGGCAUCACGAGGACUGUACUGUCUCCUUUCUCCAAUCAGUGAAACUGAUCUCCCCGUGAAGAAGCGGGGAUUAACCUAUAAGACGAGAAGACCCCAUGGAGCUUAAAGCCCAUAAACACCUCUACGCACUUAAAUCAACUUAGCCUAAGAGACCUGUCAGCCAGCUUUAGGUUGGGGGGACCGCGGAGAAAAACUUAACCUCCACGACAAACGGGCAAACGCCCUUAUCCAUGAAUUACAAUUCUAAGAAUCAAUAAACUGAUGUUUAAUGACCCGAUUAUUCGAUCAACGAACCAAGUUACCCUGGGGAUAACAGCGCAAUCUACUUUAAGAGCCCAUAUCGACAAGUAGGUUUACGACCUCGAUGUUGGAUCAGGGUAUCCUAGUGGUGCAGCCGCUACUAAAGGUUCGUUUGUUCAACGAUUAAAACCCUACG